GGGUUUGUAGCUCAGUUGGUUAGAGUGCGCGCCUGAUAAGUGCGAGGUCGGUGGUUCAAGUCCACCCAGACCCA
rnacentral:tRNA from 1 species